rnacentral:tRNA from 1 species
AAGGAUUUAGGAUAAUUGAGACCAGGGACCUUCAAAGCCCCAAGAGGAAGUGAAAAUCUUCCAAUCCUUG